rnacentral:misc_RNA from 1 species
GAUGAAGAACGCAGCGAAAUGCGAUACUUGGUGUGAAUUGCAGAAUCCCGUGAACCAUCGAGUCUUUGAACGCAAGUUGCGCCCGAAGCCAUUAGGCCGAGGGCACGCCUGCCUGGGCGUCACACGUCGUUGCCCCCCCCAUCUACUCCUUCGGGAUUGCGGGGGGCGGAUGAUGGCCUCCCGUGCGCCUCGCCGCGCGGUUGGCAUAAAUGCCAAGUCCUCGGCGACGCACGCCACGACAAUCGGUGGUUGCGAAACCUCGGUUGCCCGUCGUGUGCGGUCGUCGCGCAUCGAGGGCUCGAAAAAAUUGCCGAGUUCCGGCUCGGCUUUCAACGCGACCCCAGGUCAGGCGGGGUUACCCGCUGAAUUUAAGCAUAUCAAUAGCGGAGGA